AUACUUACCUGGCAGGGGAGAUCCCAUGAUCACGAAGGUGGUUUUCCCAGGGCGAGGCUUACACACUACACUCCAGAUGCGCUGACCCCUGCACUCUCCCCAAAUGUGGGAAACUCAGUUGCAUGAUUUGUGGUAGUGGGGGACUGUGUUCAUGCUCUGCUUGA